UGGGGGAUAUUGCACAAUGGGGGGAACCCUGAUGCAGCAACGCCGCGUGAGGGAAGAAGGUUUUAGGAUUGUAAACCUCUGUCCUUGGGGAAGAAAAGGAUGACGGUACCCAAGGAGGAAGCUCCGGCUAACUACGUGCCAGCAGCCGCGGUGAUACGUAGGGAGCGAGCGUUGUCCGGAAUUAUUGGGUGUAAAGGGUGCGUAGGCGGCUAUGUAAGUCAGGCGUGUAAUGCAGGGGCUUAACCUCUGAACUGCGUUUGAAACUGUAUAGCUUGAGUGGAGUAGAGGCAGAUGGAAUUUCCAGUGUAGCGGUGGAAUGCGUAGAUAUUGGAAGGAACAUCAGUGGCGAAGGCGAUCUGCUGGGCUUUUACUGACGCUGAGGCACGAAAGCAUGGGGAGCAAACAGG
rnacentral:rRNA from 1 species